rnacentral:rRNA from 1 species
CCUACGGGUGGCUGCAGUGAGGAAUAUUGGUCAAUGGGCGCAAGCCUGAACCAGCCACGUAGCGUGAGGGAAGACUGCCCUACGGGUUGUAAACUUCUUUUAUGAAGGAGUAAAGGCGUGCAAGUGUGGGUUUUUGCAGGUACGGUAUGAAUCAGGAACGGCUAAGUACGUGCCAGCCGCCGCGGUAAUACGUAGGGUGCGGGCGUUAUCCGGAUUUAUUGGGUUUAAAGGGAGCGUAGGCGGGUUGUUAAGUCUGCUGUGAAGUUAUGCGGCUCAACCGUAGAAGUGCAGUGGAUACUGGGAGACUUGAGUGCAGGAGAGGAAGGCGGAACUCGAGGUGUAGCGGUGGAAUGCUUAGAUAUCACGAAGAACACCGAUUGCGAAGGCAGCUGUCUGGACUGCAACUGACGCUGAGGCUCGAAAGCGUGGGUAUCGAACAGGAUUAGAUACCCGAGUAGUC